AUUUUCGGAUAAUCGCGGCUUGAGUAAAUCAAGUUGAGGAAAGUCCAUGCUCGCACAGACUGAGAUGUCUGUAGUGUUCGUGCUCGGCGAAAAAAUAAGCUGAGGUAUUUCAUUUGAAAUAACGGCAGGAAAAAAAGCUAAGGUGUCUUUACACUAUGCUUGAGUAUCCUUGAAAGUGCCACAGUGACGAAGCAAUAAGAGAA
rnacentral:RNase_P_RNA from 1 species